rnacentral:rRNA from 2 species
GGAUUGGCGGACGGUUGACUAUCACGUAUGUAAACUGCCAUCAAGCGGGGGACAACAUGCGGAAACAGAUGCUAAUACCGCAUAACAUCAUUGUUCGCAUGAACGACGCUCAAGCUAUGGCUUCUCGCUGUCCCUUCUGGAUGGACCUGCGGUGCAUUAGCUUGUGGGUGGGGUAGCGGCGUAGCAUAGCGAUGAUGCAUAACCGAGUUGACAGACUGAUAGUGCAACAUGGGACUGACACACGGCCCAUACUCCUACGGGAGGCAUCACUAGGGAAUCCUCACAAUGGGCGCCAGCCUGAUGGAACAGCACAGCGUGAGUGAAUAAGGGUUCCUGCUCGUAAAGCUCUGUUGUUAAAGAAAGACACUGAUGAUAGUAACUGUGCAUACGUUGACGGUAUUUAACCUAAAAGUGACGGCUAACUACGUGCCAUCAGCCGCGGUAAUACGUAGGUGGCAUGCGUUGUGCGGAUUUAUAGCGCGUACAGAGAGUGCAGGCGGAUGUGUAAGCCUGAUGUGAAAGCGUUCAGCUGAACCGGAGAAUGGCAUUCGAGACUGCAUAACAUGAGUGCGGAACAGGAUAUUGGAACUCGAUGUGUAUCGAUGGAAUGCGUAAAUAUAUGGAAGAACGCCACUGGCUAAUGCGGAUAUGUGGCUUGCACCUGACGCUG